rnacentral:tRNA from 1 species
GGGGACGUAGCUCAGCUGGGAGAGCACCUGCUUUGCAAGCAGGGGGUCAGGGGUUCGAUCCCCCUCGUCUCCA